AAACGGAGGAGACCAACAGGGAUUGCCUUAGUAACGGCGAGUGAAGCGGCAAUAGCUCAAAUUUGAAAGCUGGCACCUUCGGUGUCCGCGUUGUAAUUUGUAGAGGAUGCUUCGGCGAGGACUCCUGCCUAAGUCCCCUGGAACGGGGCGUCACAGAGGGUGAGAAUCCCGUAUGUGGCGGGCGGUCCGAGCCAUGUGAAGCUCCUUCGACGAGUCGAGUUGUUUGGGAAUGCAGCUCUAAAUGGGAGGUAAAUUUCUUCUAAAGCUAAAUAUUGGCCAGAGACCGAUAGCGCACAAGUAGAGUGAUCGAAAGAUGAAAAGCACUUUGGAAAGAGAGUUAAAAAGUACGUGAAAUUGUUGAAAGGGAAGCGCUUGCAACCAGACUCGCUCGCAGUUGCUCAGCCGGCCUCUUGGCCGGUGUACUCUUCUGCGAUCGGGCCAGCAUCAGUUCGGGCGGCCGGAUAAAGGUGUCGGGAAUGUAGCACCCUUCGGGGUGUGUUAUAGCCCGGCGCGGAAUGCGGCCAGCCUGGACUGAGGAUCUCGCUUCGGCAAGGAUGCUGGCGUAAUGGUUGUAAGCGGCCCGUCUUGAAACACGGACCAAGGAGUCUAACAUCUAUGCGAGUGUUUGGGUGUCAAACCCAUGCGCGUAAUGAAAGUGAACGGAGGUGGGAACCCCUCACGGGGUGCACCAUCGACCGAUCCUGAUGUCUUCGGAUGGAUUUGAGUAAGAGCAUAGCUGUUGGGACCCGAAAGAUGGUGAACUAUGCCUGAAUAGGGUGAAGCCAGAGGAAACUCUGGUGGAGGCUCGCAGCGGUUCUGACGUGCAAAUCGAUCGUCAAAUUUGGGUAUAGGGGCGAAAGACUAAUCGAUCCAUCUAUGGGCC
rnacentral:rRNA from 1 species